AGCUUUUCGAAUCUGUGCUGAGAUUUCGUCAGACACCAACCUAUUAGGGUUGAUCGUACUUCCGAGAUAAGUGAAGUU
rfam:Schistosoma mattheei strain Denwood, Zambia genome assembly, scaffold: SMTD_scaffold0001959